UAGGCAUGCAAGUCGAACAGGAAAGCACCUUCGGGGUGUUAGUAAAGUGGCGAACGGGUGAGUAACGCGUGGGAAACCUGCUCUUGAGCGGGGGAUAACAGUUCUAACGGACUGCUAAUACCGCAUAAUGCCAUAGGUCACAUGUCCUGUGGUUAAAGGAGGCCUCUUCUUGAAAGCUUCCGCUUAAGAAUGGUCCCGCGUCCUAUUAGCUUGUUGGUAGGGUAACGGCCUACCAAGGCAACAAUGGGUAGCCGGCUUGAGAGAGUGGUCGGCCACACUGGGACUGAGACACGGCCCAGACACCAACGGGCGGCAGCAGUCGAGGAUCGUGCACAAUGGGCGAAAGCCUGACGCUGCGACGCCGCGUGGAGGAUGAAGGCCCUAGGGUCGUAAA
rnacentral:rRNA from 1 species